GGUUAAGCGACUAAGCGUACACGGUGGAUGCCCUGGCAGUCAGAGGCGAUGAAGGACGUGCUAAUCUGCGAUAAGCGCCGGUAAGGUGAUAUGAACCGUUAUAACCGGCGAUUUCCGAAUGGGGAAACCCAGUGUGACUCGUCACACUAUCAUUAACUGAAUCCAUAGGUUAAUGAGGCGAACCGGGGGAACUGAAACAUCUAAGUACCCCGAGGAAAAGAAAUCAACCGAGAUUCCCCCAGUAGCGGCGAGCGAACGGGGAGGAGCCCAGAGCCUGAAUCAGCAUGUGUGUUAGUGGAAGCGUCUGGAAAGGCGCGCGAUACAGGGUGACAGCCCCGUACACAAAAGCGCAUGUGCUGUGAGCUCGAUGAGUAGGGCGGGACACGUGGUAUCCUGUCUGAAUAUGGGGGGACCAUCCUCCAAGGCUAAAUACUCCUGACUGACCGAUAGUGAACCAGUACCGUGAGGGAAAGGCGAAAAGAACCCCGGCGAGGGGAGUGAAAAAGAACCUGAAACCGUGUACGUACAAGCAGUGGGAG
rnacentral:rRNA from 3 species